GCUUAACACAUGCAAGUCGAACGAACCCGAUCUUCGGAUCAUAUGGGUGAGUGGCGAACGGGUGAGUAACACGUGAGAAACCUGCCCCAAAGUUCGGAAUAACUCAGGGAAACUUGAGCUAAUACCGGAUGCCCUCCAUUGGUCGAAUGACCGACGGAGGAAAGAUUUAUCGCUUUGGGAGGGUCUCGCGGCCUAUCAGCUAGUUGGUGAGGUAAUGGCUCACCAAGGCAUCGACGGGUAGCUAGUUUGAGAGGACAAAUAGCCCCACUGGGACUGAGACACGGCCCCGACUCCUACGGGAGGCACCAGUGGGGGAUCUCGCGAAUGGGCGAAA
rnacentral:rRNA from 1 species